AUUGAACGCUGCGGGCAGGCCUAACACAUGCAAGUCGAACGGUAACAGGAAGCAGCUUGCUGCUUCGCUGACGAGUGGCGGACGGGUGAGUAAUGUCUGGGAAGCUGCCUGAUGGAGGGGGAUAACUACUGGAAACGGUAGCUAAUACCGCAUAAUGUCGCAAGACCAAAGAGGGGGACCUUCGGGCCUCUUGCCAUCGGAUGUGCCCAGAUGGGAUUAGCUUGUUGGUGGGGUAACGGCUCACCAAGGCGACGAUCCCUAGCUGGUCUGAGAGGAUGACCAGCCACACUGGAACUGAGACACGGUCCAGACUCCUACGGGAGGCAGCAGUGGGGAAUAUUGCACAAUGGGCGCAAGCCUGAUGCAGCCAUGCCGCGUGUAUGAAGAAGGCCUUCGGGUUGUAAAGUACUUUCAGCGGGGAGGAAGGGAGUAAAGUUAAUACCUUUGCUCAUUGACGUUACCCGCAGAAGAAGCACCGGCUAACUCCGUGCCAGCAGCCGCGGUAAUACGGAGGGUGCAAGCGUUAAUCGGAAUUACUGGGCGUAAAGCGCACGCAGGCGGUUUGUUAAGUCAGAUGUGAAAUCCCCGGGCUCAACCUGGGAACUGCAUCUGAUACUGGCAAGCUUGAGUCUC
rnacentral:rRNA from 1 species